AUUGAACGCUGGCGGCAGGCCUAACACAUGCAAGUCGAGCGGAUGAAGCGAGCUUGCUCCUGGAUUCAGCGGCGGACGGGUGAGUAAUGCCUAGGAAUCUGCCUGGUAGUGGGGGAUAACGUCCGGAAACGGGCGCUAAUACCGCAUACGUCCUGAGGGAGAAAGAGGGGGGGGUUCGGACAUCACGCUAUCAGAUGAGCUUAGGUCGGAUUAGCUAGUUGGUGGGGUAAAGGCCUGCCAAGCCGACGAUCGGCAACUGGUCUGAGAGGAUGAUCAGUCACCCUGGAGCUUGGACACGGUCCAUACUCCUACGGUAGGCAGCAGUGGGGAAUAUGGGACAAUGGUCGAAAGCCUGAUCCAGCCAUGCGGCGUGUGUUAAGAAGGUCUUCGGAUUGUAAAGAACUUUAAGUUGGGGGGAAGGGCAGUAAGUUAAUACCUUGCUGUUUUGACGGUACCAACAGAAGAAGCACCGGCUAACUUCGUG
rnacentral:rRNA from 1 species